UACGGAGGAUGCAAGCGUUAUCCGGAUUUAUUGGGUUUAAAGGGUGCGCAGGUUGUUUGAUAAGUCAGUAGUGAAAGUCUGUCGCUUAACGGUAGGAUUGCCAUUGAUACUGUUAGACUUGAAUAUGGAUGAGGUAGGCGGAAUGUGUAGUGUAGCGGUGAAAUGCAUAGAUAUUACACAGAACACCGAUUGCGAAGGCAGCUUACUAAUCCAUCAUUGACGCUGAGGCACGAAAGCGUGGGGAUCAAACA
rnacentral:rRNA from 1 species